AUGCAGCAUCACACUGAGAUCAGGUACCAGGCACAACUGCACAAGAUGUAUUCCCCUCCCUGCUCUGCUGCUGGAAGCAACGGCGGGCAGAGCUUCGCGGCCGGAGCCAACCCGCUCGCGUUGCUGGACCAUGCCAUGGAUUUCGACGAGCACGUCCUUUUUCCUAUGCACAAUGCAGGGAUGCAAGAUGGAGUUCAGUUCUACAAUCCUACUGCUGGUGGUACUGAGCUAAGUAGAAACAUGAGCAUGGAGAAGGGUUUGAAGGGCGGUAAAAGGAAGGGCUCGGGCGAGGGCAGUUCGACUAUGCAUUCGCAACAGGAGGAAACCGGUGCCAUGUCUCAGAGAGAAGUCAGCAUGGAGCGCGCUGGCGAGAAGGAAGGCGAUGCUGCUAGCAACAGAGAGGACUACGUGCAUAUCCGGGCGAAGCGCGGCCAGGCGACCAACAACCACAGCCUUGCAGAAAGGUUUCGGAGGGAGAAGAUCAACGAGAGGAUGAAGCAUCUACAGGACCUCGUCCCAGGCUGCAAUAAGAAGAUCACAGGCAAGGCCAUGAUGCUCGACGAGAUCAUAAACUAUGUGCAGUCCCUGCAGCGGCAGGUCGAGUUCCUCUCGAUGAAGCUCUCGGCGGUCAGCCCCGAGCUGAACUGCGAUCUCGAUCUCCAAGACAUCCUUUGCCCGCAGGACGCCCGCUCCACGUUUCCGGGAUACGGCCAGCGAUUGGGCAACGUUCAUCCCAACAACAAUAUGUACAGGGCGUCGCAGCCGGGCCUCUCGCGUCCAGAACUAUACGGGAACGGGAUCAUCAUCCCAAACCACCCAGCAAGUGUUCAUAUGGCGAGGACGGCUCAGCAGCUGUCUGCGUUUCCCCAUAGGAGCAUCGUCUGGGACGAGGAACUUGGCAAUGUUGGUCCGUCUGCUUUCCCGUCGGACGUCGUCGGCGCCAGCAGCUUGGAGAACUCCGAGUCGAUGAAGGUGGAGUAG
rnacentral:rRNA from 1 species